rnacentral:RNase_P_RNA from 1 species
GAAGCAGGACAGAUGGCCGCUCUCCGCGUGCGGGGGGAGGAAAGUCCGGGCUCCACAGGGCAUGGUGCUGGAUAACGUCCAGCGGGGGUGACCCCAGGGAUAGUGCCACAGAGAGAAGUCCGCCCGCUUCGGCGGGUAAGGGUGAAAGGGUGAGGUAAGAGCUCACCGGGUCCGGCGGCGACGUCGGAUGCCAGGUAAACCCCACCAGGAGCAAGGCCGAAUAGGGAAGCGUCAAGGACGGCCCGUCCGUGCUUCCGGGUUGGCUGCUUGAGGCCGUCGGUAACGGCGGUCCCAGAGGAAUGGUCAUCGUCCGCAGAGGGGUAACCCGAUGCGGGAACAGAACCCGGCUUAUGGCCUGCUUCGGCC